UGGAAUAAUUUUUGUGCGACAAAAACUUUAAUAAAAGGUGGGCAUGCGCUAAAAUAUUGGCGUGAGAGAUCUCACGCGAUUUCUCUUUGGCGCACAAUUUUUUUUCCUUCCUUUUUCCAUGCCAUAGUUUCUUAUUUUGAUAAGAUCUGAUCUUAUCUCUUUUGGGGCAUGAGGGAUUUCUUGGUAUGCGACAAAAAUUAAGAGAAAAAAAAGGGUGGCGUGCGCUAAGGUAAAAGGGCCUUCUUUCUUAUCGCAUAGCCUUC
rnacentral:lncRNA from 1 species